rnacentral:rRNA from 1 species
CUUUGCGAAAGGCGUAAGCUUCCAACGCGACCCCAGGUCAGGCGGGAUUACCCGCUGAAUUUAAGCAUAUCAAUAAGCGGAG